rnacentral:rRNA from 1 species
CCUACGGGUGACAGCAGUUGGGGAUAUUGCACAAUGGGCGAAAGCCUGAUGCAGCGACGCCGCGUGAGGGAAGACGGUCCUCGGAUUGUAAACCUCUGUCUUUGGGGACGAAAAUGACGGUACCCAAAGAGGAAGCUCCGGCUAACUACGUGCCAGCAGACGCGGUAAUACGUAGGGCGCAAGCGUUGUCCGGAAUUACUGGGUGGAAAGGGGGCGUAGGCGGGAUGGCAAGUAGAAUGUUAAAUCCAUCAGCUCAACCGGUGGCUGCGUUCUAAACUGCCGUUAGUGAGUGAAGUAGAGGCAGGCGGAAUGCCUAGUGUAGCGGUGAAAUGCGUAGAUAUUAGGAGGAACACCAGUGGCGAAGGCGGCCUGCUGGGCUUUAACUGACGCUGAGGCUCGAAAGCGUGGGGAGCAAACAGGAUUAGAUACCCGAGUAGUC